ensembl:lncRNA
AGUGACCUGUCCUGUGACAAAACACAUAGUGACCUGUCCUGUGACAAAACACAUAGUGACCUGUCCUGUGACAAAACACAUAGUGACCUGUCCUGUAACAAAACACAUAGUGACCUGUCCUGUGACAAAACACAUAGUGACCUGUCCUGUGACAAAACACAUAGUGACCUGUCCUGUGACAAAACACAUAGUGACCUGUCCUGUGACCUGUCCAUACAGAGUCGUCGUGAAGAACAUGCCCAUAGAGAUGCAAUGUAAUGCUGUCUUUAAUUCUGUCAGAGUGACUCUAUGAUCUGUAACUGUAAAGCAGCGACGUGGGCUGACAGGCUGUGUUUGUCCCACUACUCUAUGGUAAUAAUGGAGUUUAAUCCAGCGAUCAUCAACUAGAUCCAGAAGCAGAUAUGUUUUCUUUUCUUGAGCGGAUGGUCAGAGGGUUGGAACAUAAUUACAAAUCAUUUGUGAACAGCAAAUUGACCGCAAGAAGCAGCACAGACAGAUGUUUUGUCUAAAACAUCAUCAUUUCAAACCUUCCUUAAAUUUGUAUACGAUCACAUUGUGUCUAAUAUGCAUGGGAAUACAGAUUUCUUACACAUUUUUUUACAACAUUUUUGCUCAGAAUAAAACCACCCAUGGUUCAAAUUUGGCCCACGGGCCGCCAGUUGGGGAACCCUGGUUUAAUCUGUCUGCUUGUUUGUUGCUGUCUACCUUUUAUUGAAUGUUAUGGUAGCUGUGCUGACAGUCAUACAUGAUGCCGUCAUGUCAAGGUGUUUUGUGUGAACAUGUUUUUUUUUCAUUAAAAAAUCAUAACAUGAUCAUGAAGAAAUGGGAAGUAUUUAGAAAAAAACCCUAAGCCAGUAUUUCCCUGUGUUUGCGUGUUGAAUGUAAAUCUGCUGUUGUUGAAUAUGAAUAAUAAUCCAAUGGCUAAAUUGAUUGUAAACUAUCAGCUAUUUUAUAUCAAAGCAGUCAAUGUUAUUGCAGAACUGGUCAGAAAUGGCUUUUGUUGCUUUGGGUAACUUUCAUGUUUUUUAUUUAUAAGAGAGCCACUAUUAAAGUUGAACUGCAAUGUUAUUUGGUUGUAGUCAUCCUGUCUUGCCUCACAUUAAACAUAUUAGAUUGAUCAGUGGCUCGUCUCUGUUAACGUCUCCGUCUACACUGUACAGUCAGCUCUCAAAUAUCAUUUACACACAGUGAAGACG